UGCAUUUGACGUCACUUCCUCCAAUCACAUGAUAAACAAUCAUAUGACUUGCGCUUACUAAACAGAGGACUGGAAUUUCCACGAAAAGCACGGUGAAUAACGUACAGAGAGUUUGAGUUGAAUACCUCGUGAAGAUGAUGUACACCCUUGUGUUAAUGGCUUCCUUAGCCACGGUCGCCCUCAGUGCCCCGAACCUUGUUGAAUGGUUUGAGAUUGAGCCUGCCAAGACAGUUAACAAACCCAGACCUAACCUUCUGGGCCGUGAACAGGCCAGAGUUGUGUUUGAUGAUCACAUGACUGAAUUCUUCAACUUCAAGCAGUCAUUUGGUAGGGGAUACGAGACGAAGGAGGAGCAGUCACGAUUCAACACCUUCUCCAAGAAUCUAGACGUCAUUCGUGAACACAACAAGAAAUACCAAAGGGGAGAGAAAUCUUUCUAUUUGGGCAUCAACAACUUUACAGACAUGGAACUUGAAGAAUUUGUUCAGUACAAUGGUCUUUUGAAAAGAAAGCCUGUAAAAACCUCUGAUUGUGGAAAAUUCCUGGAGCCCAACUUCCUGACAUUGCCAGAGGAGGUGGACUGGAGGACAAAGGGAUAUGUCACCCCCGUCAAAAACCAGGGACAGUGCGGGUCAUGUUGGUCGUUCAGUUCAACUGGUGCUCUGGAAGGUCAGCAUUUCCGAAAGGCCCAUAAAUUGGUGUCGCUCAGUGAACAACAGUUGGUAGACUGUUCCAACGACUAUGGAAACAAUGGCUGUGAUGGAGGACUGAUGGACCAGGCCUUCGACUAUAUCCGUGACAUUGGGGGUCUCGAGUCCGAGGGCGAGUACCCAUACAAGGCAAAGGAUAAGAAGUGCCAUUUCAACAGUACUGAGAUCAAGGCCAAAUGCACUGGCUGUAUGGACAUUGAGAGUGGUGACGAGGAUAACCUCAAAAAGGCCGUCGGCUCUGUUGGACCUAUCUCGGUUGCUAUUGAUGCCAGUCACCAGUCCUUCCAGCUCUAUAAAUCAGGUGUUUACAAUGAAGAGAAUUGCAGCAGUGACCAGCUUGACCAUGGUGUACUUGCAGUUGGAUACGGGACAGAUGAUGGUAGUGACUACUGGCUUGUAAAGAACAGCUGGGAUACUGUGUGGGGAGAGGACGGUUACAUCAAGAUGGCAAGGAACCAAGGCAACAUGUGUGGUAUUGCCACUCAGGCCAGCUACCCUACAGUGUAAAAGCCUACUGUACUGGUAUGUCACAUUGUUAUAUAGUCACUGUAGGAACCAAGGCAACAUGUGUGGUAUUGCCACUCAGGCCAGCUACCCUACAGUGUAAAAGCCUACUGUACUGGUAUGUCACAUUGUUAUAUAGUCACUGUAGGAACCAAGGCAACAUGUGUGGUAUUGCCACUCAGGCCAGCUACCCUACAGUGUAAAAGCCUACUGUACUGGUAUGUCACAUUGUUAUAUAGUCACUGUAGGAACCAAGGCAACAUGUGUGGUAUUGCCACUCAGGCCAGCUACCCUACAGUGUAAAAGCCUACUGUACUGGUAUGUCACAUUGUUAUAUAGUCACUGUAGGAACCAAGGCAACAUGUGUGGUAUUGCCACUCAGGCCAGCUACCCUACAGUGUAAAAGCCUACUGUACUGGUAUGUCACAUUGUUAUAUAGUCACUGUAGGAACCAAGGCAACAUGUGUGGUAUUGCCACUCAGGCCAGCUACCCUACAGUGUAAAAGCCUACUGUACUGGUAUGUCACAUUGUUAUAUAGUCACUGUAGGAACCAAGGCAACAUGUGUGGUAUUGCCACUCAGGCCAGCUACCCUACAGUGUAAAAGCCUACUGUACUGGUAUGUCACAUUGUUAUAUAGUCACUGUAGGAACCAAGGCAACAUGUGUGGUAUUGCCACUCAGGCCAGCUACCCUACAGUGUAAAAGCCUACUGUACUGGUAUGUCACAUUGUUAUAUAGUCACUGUAGGAACCAAGGCAACAUGUGUGGUAUUGCCACUCAGGCCAGCUACCCUACAGUGUAAAAGCCUACUGUACUGGUAUGUCACAUUGUUAUAUAGUCACUGUAGGAACCAAGGCAACAUGUGUGGUAUUGCCACUCAGGCCAGCUACCCUACAGUGUAAAAGCCUACUGUACUGGUAUGUCACAUUGUUAUAUAGUCACUGUAGGAACCAAGGCAACAUGUGUGGUAUUGCCACUCAGGCCAGCUACCCUACAGUGUAAAAGCCUACUGUACUGGUAUGUCACAUUGUUAUAUAGUCACUGUAGGAACCAAGGCAACAUGUGUGGUAUUGCCACUCAGGCCAGCUACCCUACAGUGUAAAAGCCUACUGUACUGGUAUGUCACAUUGUUAUAUAGUCACUGUAGGAACCAAGGCAACAUGUGUGGUAUUGCCACUCAGGCCAGCUACCCUACAGUGUAAAAGCCUACUGUACUGGUAUGUCACAUUGUUAUAUAGUCACUGUAGGAACCAAGGCAACAUGUGUGGUAUUGCCACUCAGGCCAGCUACCCUACAGUGUAAAAGCCUACUGUACUGAUAAAAGAUCUGUUUGGGACCUCUCAUUUAUACAGGCAGGCAGGCAGUGACGACAGACGACCAACAAACAGUCGAUAAAACAGAAGGGGGAUAACUCUUAUAAGAUUGCAAAUUAAGAAUGAUGAAAGGUUGUUAAAAUCACACUUGAAUUUAUGAUAACCCUCAGUGAUUUUUAAAGGGUUUGAUUUUUCUUUAAAAUAUGCAAUUAAAUAUGAAAUUAUAGAUGCUGCCAUAUUGACAGAGAUAUUUUUGUGUCUACAGCUCUUACAACAUAUAUAUUUUUUCUUGUAACCAUUCCAUGCUGUGUGAAAAAUGUAUCCUUAGACACAACGGUAUUUUACAAUUAUGACCACUUUCCUCACAUGUUAAAAACCAGCUUCAUAUGAAAGUGUGACAACAGUUGUGUCAUGUCAAUAACAGUACGCGAGAAUGUAUGACAGUUUGGGUGAUCGUCGACAACAAUAUUUACUUAUCCCACUUUAACCAUUCAGGAAAAAUAUCACUUUUUGUACUUUUUGUUAGAUCUGAAGUAAUGUUGUUUUGUUUAGAUCUUAGAAAAUUAAGUAGAUAUUGAUCUGGAUUAUUUACAAAAUUUGUAUUGUCAUAUAGAAAUGAUCUGCAAUGUUGUGUACAUAUACUUUCCUACAGUUAAACAUGCGGAGAAACGUAAAAGGGAAUCUGUUGUCGCCCUUUGUGUAUUUCUAUAUGUAAAACACAAAGCUUUGUUUCAAUUUCAAAAAGUGAUCAUAUUGGCGUAACAUUCAAGCCUGGUGUUUAGUACUUUGUGAUAUUUUGAUAUUUUUUAUUAUAUAGAGUAGUCCCUAUGUGUCAUAUCAGAGAGUGCCUUGAGAGAGAGACAGCUCCGCUUCAUGUAACCAAUACUGUCUCUGUUCCAGAGAUAAAUACAAUGUUCCUUCAAUGUAAAUUACAUAUAAGGCGUUUUAGAAUAAAGGCAUUGUAUUUUACAAUGCUGAUAAAAAAUACAGAUCAAGUAAGAGUAAACCAGUAUUUUGGUAUUGUAGAUAUAAUUUAUGUUAGAAAACAUUCCAAAUAGGAAUCGUUUGAUUUGAGCAUCAGUUUAUAGGAUUCCAAGAUUUUAACCGUACAGAACGCAGUCCUACUUUGAGUAGCGACUUAUAGUUCUAAGUGACUCCCAGUGGUUCAUUUACAUGUACAGGAAAGUUUAUAUACUUGCAGAUGAAUAAAGAUAAUGGCUUAUAUACAUGUUAACGUUCACAAUAGCUGGUGAGCUGCCCUGUGAUUACACACACUUUUUUUUACAUGAAUACGAUGAUGGGAGUGUUACCUGAUGUAUGAAUGAAUAAAUGUUUUUUCUAA
rnacentral:misc_RNA from 1 species